rnacentral:rRNA from 1 species
AACGAACGCUGGCGGCAUGCCUAACACAUGCAAGUCGAACGAGACCUCCGGGACUGCUGGCGCACGGGUGCGUAACGCGGGGGAACCUGCCCGUAGGUUCGGAAUAACUCCCCGAAAGGGGUGCUAAUACCGGAUAAUGUCCUCGGACCAAAGAUUUAUCGACUUUGGGUGGGCCCGCGUUGGUUUAGCCAGUUGGUAGGGUAAAAGCCUACCAAGGCGACGAUCCAUAGCUGGUCUGAGAGGAUGAUCAGCCACACUGGGACUGAGACACGGCCCAGACUCCUACGGGAGGCAGCAGUGGGGAAUAUUGGACAAUGGGCGAAGGCCUGAUCCAGCAAUGCCGCGUGAGUGAUGAAGGCCUUAGGGUUGUAAAGCUCUUUUACCCGGGAUGAUAAUGACAGUACCGGGAGAAUAAGCACCGGCUAACUCCGUG